AUUGAACGCUGGCGGCAUGCCUAACACAUGCAAGUCGAACGGUAACAGGAAGAGGCUUGCUUCUUUGCUGACGAGGGGCGGGCGGGUGUGUAAUGUGGGGGAAACUGCCUUAUGAAUGGGGAUAACUACUGGAAACGGUGGCUAAUACCGCAUAACGUCGCAAGACCAAAAAGGGGUACCGUCGGGCGUCUUUGCAUCGGCUGUUACCAGAUUGGAUUAGCUAGUAGGUGGGGUAACGGCUCACCUAGGCGACGAUCCCUAGCUGGUCUGAGAGGUUGACCGGCCACACUGGAACUGAGACACGGUCCAGACUCCUACGGGAGGCAGCAGUAGGGAAUCUUGCGCAAUGGGCGAAAGCCUGACGCAGCAACGCCGCGUGUAUGAAGAAGGUCUUCGGGUCGUAAAGUACUUUCAGCGGGGAGGAAGGGAGUAAAGUUAAUCCCUUUGCUCAUUGACGUUACCCGAAGAAGAAGCACCGGCUAACUACGUG
rnacentral:rRNA from 1 species